GGAGGCGCAGUUCAGUUCAUCAGGCAGAAUCGCAGGGGAGCGAUCAACAGCAAGCAGCUGACCUACCUGGAGAAAUACCGCUCCAGACAGAGACUACGCUUCAAAGACCUCCACAACACAAGAACAAGUGCUGCGUGAUGUGAUGAUGUGUGUGACCCCGCAGCCCGCCUGUUCUGACCCAUAUAGAACGACUACAUGAACUUUAAUAUUGGACCGACCUCCGCCCCCUACGAUGCGUUUGGACUUGACCUGUUGUCUGUCUCCAUGGGGACAGUUAGCUGCCACUGUUCUGUUGGGAUUCUUCUGCUUCUCACUCAGGGCUUGUGGAGACCAUCUCCUCUCCGAUGUCUUUGAAUGAACACGUUCGUCCCCAACAGCCGGCCAAUUGAACUCGUAGAGAGGAAAGCAAAUAAGCCCGAUUUCCAUCAAGUACACACACACACACACACACACACACACAACACACACCACACACACACACACACCACACACACACACACACACACACACACAUUGACAUAAACUAUUUUGCACUGAUUGUGACAUACUGUGACAUACACACACACAGAGCCAUUGACCACCAGACCAACCCCUCAACCAGCAGCAACACUGUCAGCUUGGUCCCAGGCCUGAUCGUUCCUCUUUCCUCCCUGCUGCUAGGUAGCACUGACCCAACCCAAUGAAACACACCGACCCACCACUYGCUGUCACAACAGGUCUGCAUCACCACACACCAUGUUAACUGAAAGRCCCUGCUAGCCAUGAUGACAUGAAUGAAAUAAUCAUGAAAAAUAACAGAUUUUAUGCUGUCUGUGUGUUUUUAUCUCAAUGUUUCAAGAAAAUCCAGUUUAACGUCUUUGUUAAAUUGAAUGCCAUCCACAGAGCUCAGCCAUCUUGCUCCGUUUUCAUAAUGCAUGUAAGGUAACACUUGUUAGAAUCAUUUCCUUGUCUCCUUCUUUUUUGAGGAUAUGGGGAUGCGGGAUGGGACUUAAUAUAGGACAAGGUUUUGUGCUGAGUCGCUGGUUUUUAAAAAGCAAUAUUUUURACAUUGUGAUAUGAAAUACUCUGGGAUUAGGAUUCUUCACCACUGGCUGCUUCUGUUGUACAACAUGAAGGCUCUCAGUGUAUCAUGUAGGAGUGAGCUGAGCCUGGGUGGGCUUGGUAGGCAACACUGUCUGUGUCCCAGAUGGCACCCUAUUCCCUAUAUAGUGCACUACUUUUGACCAGAGGUCUAUGGGCUACAAUGCCUUGAAAUAUACACACACAUGGACUCGCACUGACCCUAUGGGCUCCGGUCAAAAGUUGUGCACUAUAUAGGGAAUAGGGUGCCAUCUGGGACGCGUACUAUGCUUUGGGAACGUAAACAUGGCGGUGCACCGUAGUCGUCUCUGGGAUGAAGAACAGCCAACUGAACCGUCUGCUCUGAAAUAACGUCUUGGCUCUGUAUCUGUCAGUGUGGAUAUAAAUGUCACUCAUCUUGCCUCCGAAAUGGCACCCUAUUCCCCUUUUUAUAGUGCACUACUAUAUAGCACACUUUUGACUAUAGUCCUAUGAAGCUCUGGUCAAAUGUAGUGCACUAAAUAGGGAAUAGGGUGCAAGACGCAGUCUCAGUUAAGGACAGGUACUGAAGGAAUGACUCGUAUCCGAGGAAGAAAGCUGUCACAUUUAUCUGCUGCCUUGGAAGCGACCCACUUCAGAUUGUUCUCAGUUAAUGAAGUACAAGAAAUAAAGUCAUUGUUUAAAGUA